CAGUAGCCGCGGUAAAACGGAGGGGGCUAGCGUUGUUCGGAAUGACUGGGCGUAAAGGGCGCGUAGGCGGCGGCCAAAGUCAGGCGUGAAAUUCCCGGGCUCAACCUGGGGGCUGCGUUUGAUACUUGGUUGCUUGAGUGGGGAAGAGGGUCGUGGAAUUCCCAGUGUAGAGGUGAAAUUCGUAGAUAUUGGGAAGAACACCGGUGGCGAAGGCGGCGACCUGGUCCUUUACUGACGCUGAGGCGCGAAAGCGUGGGGAGCAAACAGGAUUAGAUACCCCAGUAGUCCCUGUCUCUUAUAC
rnacentral:rRNA from 1 species